rnacentral:rRNA from 1 species
GAUGAUCGCUGGCGGCGUGCCUAAUACAUGCAAGUCGAGCGAAUGGAUUAAGAGCUUGCUCUUAUGAAGUUAGCGGCGGACGGGUGAGUAACACGUGGGUAACCUGCCCAUAAGACCGGGAUAACUCCGGGAAACCGGGGCUAAUACCGGAUAACAUUUUGAACCGCAUGGUUCGAAAUUGAAAGGCGGCUUCGGCUGUCACUUAUGGAUGGACCCGCGUCGCAUUAGCUAGUUGGUGAGGUAACGGCUCACCAAGGCAACGAUGCGUAGCCGACCUGAGAGGGUGAUCGGCCACACUGGGACUGAGACACGGCCCAGACUCCUACGGGAGGCAGCAGUAGGGAAUCUUCCGCAAUGGACGAAAGUCUGACGGAGCAACGCCGCGUGAGUGAUGAAGGCUUUCGGGUCGUAAAACUCUGUUGUUAGGGAAGAACAAGUGCUAGUUGAAUAAGCUGGCACCUUGACGGUACCUAACCAGAAAGCCACGGCUAACUACGUGCCAGCCGCCGCCGUAA